UUUGUUUGCAUAUUUUCUGAAUAAUGGAAUUCAAAACUGAAUUCUCUGCUCUGGUGUAACGUUUACGUUCAGAGGCAGUGGAUUAACUACUGACACUUAGAGAAAAGAAACUCCACCCUGUAACAUUAUCUGAUAUUUCCCAACAUUUUUAUGUUUAUGUUAAAAUUCUUCAAAAGCUUCCAAAUUCUUGUCUUGCUCCUUCUUGUCAAUUACUGACAUUUUUGUGUUUGCAUAUUUGAGUUCUACCCUAAAUACUUCAAAUAUUUCGAAAGUGAGUGUUUUUCAAACAGGAAUUGUUGCUACAUUACAUGUUGGAGUUUUACACUGGUCAUUGUAUGUGUGUUUCUGGGCUUCAGUAAAACCCAUCUUCCAAAGGAUUAGAGCUAUAUCUAGACAGAUUCUGUAAAAACUGCCUUGGAAGGCCCUGUCUUAUUUUACUUUCCUUCCUUGGCUUCUUUCUGAGAUGAUGCUGUUUACUUCACACUGUUACUUAGUCUUGAAAUCUCAUUUGCUUUUAUAUUUAGUGUUCUUAUAAAUUCAGGGUCAGGCUUUUCUAAUAAACAAUAUAAAAUUUGCUGCAUACUAAUCACAGCUAACACUAAUUCACAGUAACUUCAAUCUGUUGUGUCAGUCCUUGUCACACGUGAGAUUAUUUCUGUUUUAGUAAGGAAGGGUGCCUUAUCUUGCUGACUGAUAUAAUUCUAAUUGCUGUUUCACCGAUAACUGAUGAUAAUGGACAAUAAGGUACAUGUUUUCAUCUUUAAAUAUUAUUCAAGUUAAACAGGAUUGCACGUGCUUGGGAGGAAAGGUUUAGCAUUCAAAGUAGGAAAAAUAAUCCAAAAUCAAGAAAAUGAAAGUAAUUGAUUAUUACUGCUGCUUUCGCCUGAGCAUAUUGAAUAUACUACUUUUAUGUCUUUCAGGAAAUUGCAAGUGAAAUAGACAGAAUAUGUGAGAUGGGAGAGGUGAUGAGAAAAGCUAUCCAAGUUGAUGAUGAUGAGUUCUUCAAAGUUCAGGAGAAAUUAGCUCAGUUGGAGCUUGAAAACAAAGAGCUGCGUGAACUAUUGUCAAUCAGCAAGGAAUCUUUUGAGGUGGGAAGAGAAGAUCUGCCCGACUGUGAAGCUUAGGCCACAAAAUAACCUUAUCUCCAAAUCUCGACUUCAGAGACUAUUAUGAAAUUACCCUACAA